UGCUCGUGCAUAUAUAAAAAAAAAUAUGCAAAUUGCAGUCCUGUGAGCUCAGUCAAUUGGCUGGUAACAUAUGCAUCACAUGAUCAGUGUGCUCUUGAAAGACCAUAAAUACAAACUGCAUUCAAAUCGACACCAGCUUUAGGAGCUCACCGAUUCAAACUGAUCACUUACGCCUUCCAGACAGGCAAUGGGUUCAAAGAGCAGCAAAGCAAAAAGCAAAAAUUACAAUUACAAUUACAACUACAAUUAUAAAGGCAGAAACCGCUAUAAAAAUCCCCAACGCGUCAAUGUUUACAGAUUUAAUAACAACUGGGGUGGUAUUGGAAACACCGAUGGUGGUGUUGGAGGCAUGGUUUUACCUGACCUAGGUCUGGGAGGCUUUAAUAAUUGUGGAGGCUGUGAUUUUACUGGAGGCCUAAAUGGUCUGGGAGGCUUUGAAUUGCCGGGAGGCUUCGACAUGGGAGGCUUUGAUUAUUCUGGAGGCUUCGAUAUGGGAAAUUUUGAUUUCUCUGGAGGGUUCGAUAUGGGAGGCUUUGAUUAUGGAGUCUGUGGUUUUUGAGUUAAUUGGUUCAGACAGCGUAACUGGAUUUGUGGAAAUGACAUGGGUUUCAGCUCCAGUGAAAAACAUAAUCAACAACAAGGACAACAGCAAUGUGAUCUACAAUAAACAUCAGGACAUCUUCAGUGCCAUAAACAUCAUAAAGACAAUGUUAUCUGAAUGCACAAAUAUAGCUCCAGCCUUUAAAAGAUCAAAAUAACAAUUUAAUUAGAAGACAAAUAUAUUUAAUCAAUGUCUGAUUUAUAGAUUGUGUGUGAGAGAACUAUUAUAGGGGACUAAUAAUGCAUUGAGGUGAAUUGGUUACUUGUUUUUUAGGUUUAUAAGAUAAGCAUUUCCCAAAAAUGAUAACAUGGAAACAUGUCUGACAACAUUCCUGAACUUCAAUCUGAUGAUUUGACAUUAAACAAAAGUCUUUUGCUUUGACCCAUA